GGGAAAUAACUGUUUCAAUGAAACUAAAAAGAAAUUCCUUAAUAGGUGAAAAUUCCUUUGAUAUAUAUAAUAGACGAGAAGACCCUAAGAAUUAUACAUUAAAAUUAUAAAUUUAUAAUAAAUUUUUGUUGGGGCAACAGAUUUGGUAAAAUCAAUAACUUAAAGAUUUACACAUUAAGUAUAUUUAAUAAGAAUUUAAUUACCUUAGGGAUAACAGCAUUAUUAAUGUAUUAGAUUGUGACCUCGAUGUUGGACUAGGGACUUUUAAAGUAAGCCAUUUUAAAAGAUUGUUCUGUUCGAACAUAAAAC
rnacentral:rRNA from 1 species